UUUGGCUGAAAAAUCGCACAUAUCAAAGUGAUAUCACGUGCUUUUACAUAGUAAAAAAGAAACUUCAUAACAAUACUUACACGUUCUCUGAGUACUAUAGAGAAGGCAGUAUGCAGAAGAGGGGUAUUCUCGCUUCUGCUGAGCUCUCCAACAGUACAGAGGGGCCUGUAGUGAAGGUACGCCGGCCAGCAACCACAUACACGCUCAAGUAUUUGAAUCCUGAUGAAUGGUGCGGUGUUGUCACUGUCCAGAAGUCCGUCAAGUAUUUUUGACUCGCCACCCACAGCCACUGAAAACAUGACCGGGACAUACCACUUCGAAGUG